GAUGAACGCUGGCGGCGUGCUUAACACAUGCAAGUCGAACGGAAAGGCCCAAGCUUGCUUGGGUACUCGAGUGGCGAACGGGUGAGUAACACGUGGGUGAUCUGCCCUGCACUUCGGGAUAAGCCUGGGAAACUGGGUCUAAUACCGGAUAGGACCCCAUUUUGGAUGGUGUGGUGGAAAGUUUUUCGGUGUGGGAUGAGCUCGCGGCCUAUCAGCUUGUUGGUGGGGUAAUGGCCUACCAAGGCGUCGACGGGUAGCCGGCCUGAGAGGGUGUACGGCCACAUUGGGACUGAGAUACGGCCCAGACUCCUACGGGAGGCAGCGGUGGGGAAUAUUGCACAAUGGGCGCAAGCCUGAUGCAGCGACGCCGCGUGGGGGAUGACGGCCUUCGGGUUGUAAACUCCUUUCGCUAGGGACGAAGCGUUAUGUGACGGUACCUGGAGAAGAAGCACCGGCUAACUACGUG
rnacentral:rRNA from 1 species